UGGGGAAUAUUGCGCAAUGGGGGGAACCCUGACGCAGCCAUGCCGCGUGAAUGAAGAAGGCCUUCGGGUUGUAAAGUUCUUUCGGUAUUGAGGAAGGUUGAUGUGUUAAUAGCACAUCAAAUUGACGUUAAAUACAGAAGAAGCACCUNGCUAACUCCGUGCCAGCAGCCGCGGUAAUACGGAGGGUGCGAGCGUUAAUCGGAAUAACUGGGCGUAAAGGGCACGCAGGCGGUUAUUUAAGUGAGGUGUGAAAGCCCCGGGCUUAACCUGGGAAUUGCAUUUCAGACUGGGUAACUAGAGUACUUUAGGGAGGGGUAGAAUUCCACGUGUAGCGGUGAAAUGCGUAGAGAUGUGGAGGAAUACCGAAGGCGAAGGCAGCCCCUUGGGAAUGUACUGACGCUCAUGUGCGAAAGCGUGGGGAGCAAACAGGAUUAGAUACCCUGGUAGUCCACGCUGUAAACGCUGUCGAUUUGGGGGUUGGGGUUUAACUCUGGCGCCCGUAGCUAACGUGAUAAAUCGACCGCCUGGGGAGUACGGCCGCAAGGUUA
rnacentral:rRNA from 1 species